rfam:Lichtheimia corymbifera JMRC:FST:9682, FST 9682, WGS project CBTN01000000 data, contig: SCAF00098
GGGGAAACUACUGAUUGGUCAGUGAGCGAGCUGUAAACUCGUGAGCCAAGUGCUCUUUGGGGGUUCGAAUCCCUCUUUCCUCA